rnacentral:rRNA from 1 species
GUGCCAGCAGCCGCGGUAAUACGUAGGGCGCAAGCGUUGUCCGGAAUUAUUGGGCAUAAAGAGCUCGUAGGCGGUUUGUCGCGUCUGCUGUGAAAACGCAAGGCUUAACCUUGCGCCUGCAGUGGGUACGGGCAGACUAGAGUGCGGUAGGGGAGACUGGAAUUCCUGGUGUAGCGGUGGAAUGCGCAGAUAUCAGGAGGAACACCGAUGGCGAAGGCAGGUCUCUGGGCCGUUACUGACGCUGAGGAGCGAAAGCAUGGGGAGCGAACAGGAUUAG